ACUCAAAUGAAUUGACGGGGACCCGCACAAGCGGUGGAGCAUGUGGUUUAAUUCGAGGCAACGCGAAGAACCUUACCAGGCCUUGACAUGGGGAGUAUGGGGUGCAGAAAAGCACUCCUUCAGUUUGGCUGGCUCCCACACAGGUGCUGCAUGGCUGUCGUCAGCUCGUGUCGUGAGAUGUUGGGUUAAGUCCCGCAACGAGCGCAACCCUCAUCCUUAGUUGCCAUCAUUUAGUUGGGCACUCUAAGGAAACUGCCGGUGAUAAGCCGGAGGAAGGUGGGGAUGACGUCAAGUCUUCAUGGCCCUUACGGCCUGGGCUACACACGUGCUACAAUGGCGGUGACAGAGAGUCGCGACCCUGCAAGGGGUAGCUAAUCUCCAAAAGCCGUCUCAGUUCGGAUUGUACUCUGCAACUCGAGUACAUGAAGCUGGAAUCGCUAGUAAUCGCGCAUCAGCUCGGCGCGGUGAAUACGUUCCCGGGUCUUGCACACACCGCCCGU
rnacentral:rRNA from 1 species